CGGAUGUUAGCGGCGGACGGGUGAGUAACACGUGGGUAACCUGCCUGUAAGACUGGGAUAACUCCGGGAAACCGGAGCUAAUACCGGAUAGUUCCUUGAACCGCAUGGUUCAAGGAUGAAAGACGGUUUCGGCUGUCACUUACAGAUGGACCCGCGGCGCAUUAGCUAGUUGGUGAGGUAACGGCUCACCAAGGCGACGAUGCGUAGCCGACCUGAGAGGGUGAUCGGCCACACUGGGACUGAGACACGGCCCAGACUCCUACGGGAGGCAGCAGUAGGGAAUCUUCCGCAAUGGACGAAAGUCUGACGGAGCAACGCCGCGUGAGUGAUGAAGGUUUUCGGAUCGUAAAGCUCUGUUGUUAGGGAAGAACAAGUGCAAGAGUAACUGCUUGCACCUUGACGGUACCUAACCAGAAAGCCACGGCUAACUACGUGCCAGCAGCCGCGGUAAUACGUAGGUGGCAAGCGUUGUCCGGAAUUAUUGGGCGUAAAGGGCUCGCAGGCGGUUUCUUAAGUCUGAUGUGAAAGCCCCCGG
rnacentral:rRNA from 1 species